CUUCGGGUUGUAAACUGCUUUUGUACGGAACGAAAAGCUUCGGSCUAAUACCCUGGAGUCAUGACGGUACCGUAAGAAUAAGCMCCGGCUAACUACGUGCCAGCAGCCGCGGUAAUACGUAGGGUGCAAGCGUUAAUCGGAAUUACUGGGCGUAAAGCGUGCGCAGGCGGUUUUGUAAGACAGARGUGAAAUCCCCGGGCUCAACCUGGGAACKGCCUUUGUGACUGSAAGGMUAGAGUASGGCAGARGGGGAUGGAAUUCCGCGUGUAGCAGUGAAAUGSGUARAWAUGCGGARGAACACCGAUGGCGAAGGCAAUCCCCUGGGCCUGUACUGACGCUCAUGCACRAAAGCGUGGGGARCA
rnacentral:rRNA from 1 species